ACCCUUCUGAAAAAGCACUCGCUGGGUCUGCGCGCAGUGGCCCAGCGAGUCGUCGUGGAAGGGCAGAGCGAAGGCAUCGCUUUUGGGUGAAGUGGCAGCCCGUGCUGUUGAUUUCAAUCAGCGGUGUGACAUUC
rfam:Leptosomus discolor contig16744, whole genome shotgun sequence.